rnacentral:lncRNA from 1 species
UUUCUUCUUUUUUAUUUUUCCUUCUUUCGAGAAGCACUAACGUGUUCCGCCAGAUCGUUCCAUUGAAAAGUACAUCACUUACGUAGACGGCUUGUCACCACUGCCAAUCUGGGGCCUCCCGCGCGACCUUUCUGCCAUUGACGAAUCAGGAUUCGCUCGCAGAUACGCUAGAGCCAAGAGCUACGCCACAACGUCGUGGGUUUUGAUCAACUCGUUCGAAGAACUCGAGGGCAGUGCCACCUUCCAAGCCCUCCGAGACAUCUCUCCCAAAGCAAUCGCAGUGGGUCCUCUUUUCACCAUGGCCCCCGGCUGCAACAAGGCAAGCUUGUGGAAGGAAGACACCGAGAGUUUAUCCUGGCUCGGCAAGCAAAGUCCCGGCUCGGUUCUCUACAUUUCCUUGGGCAGCAUCGCGACCCUCAGCUUCGAUCAGUUCAAGGAGUUCUCCGAGGGACUGAGGCUUCUCCAGCGUCCGUUUAUCUGGGCCAUCCGACCCAAGUCGGUCGCCGGCAUGGAGCCCGAGUUCCUGGAGCGUUUCAAGGAGGCCGUGAGGAGCUUUGGACUGGUUGUGAGCUGGGCUCCUCAGGUGGACAUCCUCCGCCACCCUUCCACGGCUGGAUUUCUCAGUCACUGCGGCUGGAACUCCAUCCUCGAGAGCGUAGCAUCCGCGGUGCCCAUGCUUUGCUGGCCGUGCGUCGCGGAGCAGAAUCUAAACUGCAAGUUGAUAGUGGAGGACUGGAAGAUCGGUCUCAAGUUCUCGUGCGUGACCAUGCCGGAUCCUCCCGAGGUGAUGGCGAGGGACGAGUUUGUGGAGGUGGUGGAGCGAUUCAUGGGAACUGACAGUGAGCAUUUGAGGAUUAACGUGAAGAAGCUGAGCGAGGAGGCUCGUAGAGCAGUGUCUAGUGGUGGCUCCUCAUAUGAAAACCUGGAGAGAUUUGCUCAAGCAGUGAAAAUUUCCUAAACUUCAAUCCAAAGCUAAGAGAAAACUUCAAAGCAUCUACUCUAUUCAAGAAUAUACUACAGUUCUUUCUCUCUCUCUCUGAAGAUAAGCACGCGCUUUGCGCGUAUAAUGGGUUCCAAGGUCAAUGUUGUCGCAAUUCCUCUCCCAGCUCAAGGCCACAUCUCUCCACUCUUGCAUCUCUGCCAAGCUCUCACUUUCAUCCUUUGGGGGAUGCUAUCUCCAAAACACGCAACCAUGAGGGAAUGUGCUGGACUUUGUUACGUGCAAAAACCCAUGGCUAAUGUGCUAAUGUAGACUCUAAGGUGAUGCUUUAUAUCAGAAACUGAUGUGAGGAGAAGAAACUAAAGAAAAACAAAGAAAAAAUAAUAAUAAGAAAGAGAGUGUAAAGUUCUGGAGUCAAAGGGGAACCACAUGGGGAAACUUGAUAAAAGAAUUAAACACUAAAAAAUGGAAAAACAAAAAGUGAAAAAAACUAAAGAGCAAAGAACAGCUUAAAGAAAUACUAGCAAGAUUGGAAGAGCUCUAGAGGCCAGUUAGAAUGGCCAUUUGUCUCAAGUUGGUCCCUGGCAUAGAGCCCGAGUUCCUGGAGGCUUUCAAGGCUCUCCUUGCAAGUGAUCAGCUUUGGACAGGUUGUGAGCUGGGCUCCUCAACUGGAAAUCCUCCAGCAUCCUUCCACAGGCUGCGAGAGUGUAUCUUCAGCGGUGCCAAUCCUUUGCUGGCCAUGAGUUGCCAAGCAGAAUCUCAACUGCAAGCUUAUAGUGGAAGACUGGAAGAUCGAUCUUAAGUUCCCGCCCAUGAGAGAUCCUCGCAAGGUUUAGAUGUAAUGUGAAGGAGCUCAGCGAGGCUGCUCAGGGAGCAACAGUGAAAGAAGGCAGGAUCUUCAUAUGAAAGUUUGGACAAGUUUGUCAAGUUUCAUAAGGUAACUUAUAUCCAAUGCCGCAGCUGGUGGCAGGAGGAUCAUCGGGCAUGAGGGCGGGGCCAAUGCACAGACAGACCAACCACCAAGAGCACAUAAAGAUGAUACUUGAAAGUGUAUAGGUUGGUGGAAGUGUUAUUUUCCUUCCCAAAGAAAUAGAUGGCGUAAUCAAGAGGAGUAAAACAUUCCUGAAGGAGAACACUAGAUUAAAACAUUUGCAAAACGCACUGAUUCUUAAGCUCAGCCUUGGAGCGAUUUGAAGCUUAUCCAGAAAAGGUAUUGUGAGAAACGGCAGCACCUUCCAGAGCACUCACGAAGUAAGCUUGAAUUUUCUUUGUUCUUCGUCAAUGGGUUCUUCUACUGGUGCCGAGGGGCUCGCUCCUCAUGCAGCGGUUCUUCCCGUUCCAACCCAAGGCCACAUCACUCCAUUCCUCCAUCUCUCCAGAGCGCUGGCGUCGCGAGGCUUCGUCAUAACUUUCAUCAACACGGAGGCCAACCACAGGGACUUGAAGGACAUCGUUUCGCAGGAGGAGAGCUUUGGCUAUGGCGGCGGCAUUCGCUUCGAGACGGUCCCGGGCAUCCAAGCGAGCGACGUCGACUUCGCGGUCCCGGAGAAGCGGGGGAUGUUGUCCGAGGCAGUGAUGGAGAUGCAAGCUCCAGUGGAAAGCUUGCUCAUCAGGAACAUGGCCAGAGACGAUGAUCUCGUUCCUCCGGUCUCGUGCUUCAUCUCGGAUAUGUUCCCGUGGUCCGCGGAAGUAGCAAGAAGGACUGGAAUCCCAGAGGUCAAGUUCUGGACCGCCAGUGCCUCUUGCGUUUUGCUCGAUUGCUCGUUUCCGCGAAUGCUGGAGAAGGGAGACGUUCCAGUCCAAGGUAAAGCUUCUUUCUUCUUUUUUAUUUGUCCUUCACUAACGUGUUCCGCCAGAUCGUUCCAUUGAAAAGUACAUCACUUACGUAGACGGCUUGUCACCACUGCCAAUCUGGGGCCUCCCGCGCGACCUUUCUGCCAUUGACGAAUCAAGAUUCGCUCGCAGAUACGCUAGAGCCAAGAGCUACGCCACAACGUCGUGGGUUUUGGUCAACUCGUUCGAAGAACUCGAGGGCAGUGCCACCUUCCAAGCCCUCCGAGACAUCUCUCCCAAAGCAAUCGCAGUGGGUCCUCUUUUCACCAUGGUCCCCGGCUCCAACAAGGCAAGCUUGUGGAAGGAAGACACCGAGAGUUUAUCCUGGCUCGGCAAGCAAAGUCCCGGCUCGGUUCUCUACAUUUCCUUGGGCAGCAUGGCGACUCUCAGCUUCGAUCAGUUCAAGGAGUUCUCCGAGGGACUGACGCUUCUCCAGCGUCCGUUUAUCUGGGCCAUCCGACCCAAGUCGGUCGCCGGCAUGGAGCCCGAGUUCCUGGAGCGUUUCAAGGAGGCCGUGAGGAGCUUUGGACUGGUUGUGAGCUGGGCUCCUCAGGUGGACAUCCUCCGCCACCCUUCCACGGCUGGAUUUCUCAGUCACUGCGGCUGGAACUCCAUCCUCGAGAGCGUAGCAUCCGCGGUGCCCAUGCUUUGCUGGCCGUGCGUCGCGGAGCAGAAUCUAAACUGCAAGUUGAUAGUGGAGGACUGGAAGAUCGGUCUCAAGUUCUCGUGCGUGACCAUGCUGGAUCCUCCCGAGGUGAUGGCGAGGGACGAGUUUGUGGAGGUGGUGGAGCGAUUCAUGGGAACUGACAGUGAGCAUUUGAGGAUUAACGUGAAGAAGCUGAGCGAGGAGGCUCGUAGAGCAGUGUCUAGUGGUGGCUCCUCGUAUGAAAACCUGGAGAGAUUUGCUCAAGCAGUGAAAAUUUCCUAAACUUCAAUCCACGGCUAAGAGAAAACUUCAAAGCAUCUACUCUACUCAAGAAUAUACUACUCUUUCUCUCUCUCUCUGAAGAUAAGCACGCGCUUUGCGCGUAUAAUGGGUUCCAAGAUCAAUGUUGUGGCGAUUCCUUUCCCCUCUCCACUCUUGCAUCUCUGCCAAGCUCUCACUUUCAUCCUUUGGGGGAUGCUAUCUCGAAAACACGCAACCACGAGGGAAUGUGUUAGACUUUGUCAUGUGCAAGAACCCAUGGCUAAUGUGUUAAUGUAGACUCCAAGGUGAUGCCUUAUGUCAGAAACUGCUGCGAGGAAAAGAAACUAAAGAAAAACAAAGAAAAAAUAAUAAGUGUAAAGUUCUGGAGUUAAAAAGGAAUCACAUGAGGAAACUUGAUAAAAGAAUUAAACACUAAAAAAUGAAAAAACAAAGUGAAAAAAGCUGAAGAGUAAGGAACAGCUUAUAGAAAUACUAACAAGAUUGGAAGAGCUCUAGAGGCCAGUUAUAAUGGCCAUUUGUCUCAAGUUGGUCCCUGGCAUAGAGCCCGAGUUCCUGGAGGCUUUCAAGGCUCUCCUUGAAAGUGAUCAGCUUUGGAUUGGUUGUGAGCUGGGCUCCUCAACUGGAAAUCCUCCAGCAUCUUUCCACAAGCUGCGAGAGUGUAUCUUCAGCAGUGCCAAUCCUUUGCUGGCCAUGAGUUGCCAAGCAGAAUCUCAACUGCAAGCUUAUAGUGGAAGACUGGAAGAUCGAUCUUAAGUUCUCGCCCAUGAGAUAUCCUCGCAAGGUGGUGGCAGGGACGAGUUUGUGGAGGUGGUGGAGCAACUCAUGGGAGCUGCGAGUGGCAAUUCCUUUAGAUGUAAUGUGAAGGAGCUCAGCGAGGCUGCUCAGGGAGCAACAGUGAAAGAAGGCAGGAUCUUCAUAUGAAAGUUUGGACAAGUUCGUCAAGUUUCAUAAGGUAAUUUAUAUCCAAUGCCGCAGCUGGUGGCAGGACGAUCAUCGGGCAUGAGGGCGGGGCCAAUGCACAGACAGACCAACCACCAAGAGCACAUAAAGAUGAUACUUGAAAGUGUAUAGGUUGGUGGAAGUGUUAUUUUCCUUCCCAAAGAAAUAGAUGGCGUAAUCAAGAGGAGUAAAACAUUCCUGAAGGAGAACACUAGAUUAAAACCUUUGCAAAACGCACUGAUUCUUAAGCUCAGCCUUGGAGCGAUUUCAAGCUUAUCCAGAAAAGGUAUUGUGAGAAACGGCAGCACCUUCCAGAGCACUCACGAAGUAAGCUUGAAUUUUCUUUGUUCUUCGUCAAUGGGUUCUUCUACUGGUGCCGAGGGGCUCGCUCCUCACGCAGCGGUUCUUCCCAUUCCAACGCUACGCCACAUCACUCCAUUCCUCCAUCUCUCCAGAGCUCUGGCCUCGCGAGGCUUCGUCAUAACUUUCAUCAACACGGAGGGCAACCACAGGGACUUGAAGGACAUCGUUUCACAGGAGGAGAGCUUUGGCUAUGGCGGCGGCAUUCGCUUCGAGACGGUCCCGGGCAUCCAAGCGAGCGACGUCGACUUCGCGGUCCCGGAGAAGCGGGGGAUGUUGUCCGAGGCAGUGAUGGAGAUGCAGGCUCCAGUGGAAAGCUUGCUCAUCAGGAACAUGGCCAGAGACGAUGAUCUCGUUCCUCCGGUCUCGUGCUUCAUCUCGGAUAUGUUCCCGUGGUCCGCGGAAGUAGCAAGAAGGACUGGAAUCCCAGAGGUCAAGUUCUGGAUCGCCAGUGCCUCUUGCGUUUUGCUCGAUUGCUCGUUUCCGCGAAUGCUGGAGAAGGGAGACGUUCCAGUCCAAGGUAAAGCUUCUUUCUUCUUUUUUAUUUGUCCUUCUUUCGAGAAGCACUAACGUGUUCCGCCAGAUCGUUCCAUUGAAAAGUACAUCACUUACGUAGACGGCUUGUCACCACUGCCAAUCUGGGGCCUCCCGCGCGACCUUUCUGCCAUUGACGAAUCAAGAUUCGCUGGCAGAUACGCUAGAGCCAAGAGCUUCGCCACAACGUCGUGGGUUUUGGUCAACUCGUUCGAAGAACUCGAGGGCAGUGCCACCUUCCAAGCCCUCCGAGACAUCUCUCCCAAAGCAAUCGCUGUGGGUCCUCUUUUCACCAUGGCCCCCGGCUGCAACAAGGCAAGCUUGUGGAAGGAAGACACCGAGAGUUUAUCCUGGCUCGG